UUCUGGGCCUCUCUGUCUGGGAUGUCUCACAGGCAUCUCAGACGCCAAGUAGAAGUUUGGGAGCCACUUUAGCAGCUGUAUUCAGCCACUCCCAUUCCUUCUUUACUCCAAAAUAUACCUCAGGUCAGUCAAUUCCUGUAGGGAAAAUUCUGCCUUUUGUAACCAAAGUCUAGCUGUCACUGGACGGAGAAGCCAUGUCUCUGAUUCCAGAGACAAAGCCGCACUCUUUGACAAGAUUUGUUUCACUGGAGACUCAAUGAUAUCAAAAAAGAAGUAAACGCGGGUCAUGCUGUGACACAAGAUACCGGGUGGGCUUUUCUCUUUGAGGCCUGCGGACCCCGCCUCGUCCCGGCCUCUGCUUCUGUAUCCCCCUCAUAGGCAUUAUCUCAGCACUUGCCAAGCAGAGUAUGUGCCCAGUCUCCUUGCUUCCUCAAGUCUCCACUCAGACAGCUGGAGCUAAAGACUGGCUGACCAGAAGGAGCAUUUUAUGAACUUCGACCUUCCACCUAUUCUUCUGCAGGAAGAUAAAUAAAGAGGACUUCUAAGGAGGAGCAGCAGAGACCCGGGGUGCUGUCUGUGGGGAGAACUUUGUGAGUUGCCAGCAAGCCUCGUUGUGAUGGAUACAUCUUGGGGGAGACUGCUGGUGGGAAGGUUGACAUCGGCUGGGCAGCAGUCACCCCUGGGUACCGGAGGCUUAUGCAGCUCUUGGGGGAAAGUCUGCUGUGCUUUGCUUGAAUUCCAAAGCCGUGUGAGCUGCCAGUUCCAACGAUGACCUCAUUACAACUGACUGAUUGAGCGAGGCAGACAUCCUCCAAGGAGAUCAAGUUCAGAGUGACUUUCUAAUCAAACUGCACAGCGGCACGCUGCAGCUGCGGGCAGGAAGUGUGAUUUGGGUUUUGCAGAUGGGGCAAUGGCAUUUAGAGAGGGCAAGUGAAUGGACAACAGUUGUGGAGUCAUGAACUAGCUUCAUAGAUUCAGAGACUUCUAGGGCUAGAGGAGAAGUCAGAGAUCAACCAGACAAACUGAGUUAGAAGGAGUGGAAAGGUGACUCAGGAUUCAUGGGCUACUAAUGCUCAUGAGUUCCCUAGGCAGCCAAGCUGCUCCUUUGCCCACCCCAUCAAGGUGGCUCCGUGCCCCUGCGUCACGUGGCUCAGCGGGACCGCCUCCCUAAAAGGAAGCCAGCUAUUCAGUGUAUCUUUGGUCUAUUGACAAUAUUUUCAGAGAGGUCAGCAGGAAGGCUCCAAGUCACGGAGUGUUAGGUGACCCGGCAGGUGGUCUCAGCUCAGCAGCUGGAGGAGGUCCAAGAUUAGGUUCCUGCAAACGGUCGGUCACUUUCCCAGGGUCAGCCAAAGACCCUGGAGUGGGAAAGAUUCCGAAUGGCUGGGAAUUGACCCCUGGCACAUAUCUCCCUUCCUCAGGGGACAAAUAUGCUUCUCUGAUGUCCACUAUCUCAUCUGCUUCCUGCAACAACCCUGUCAGAUGGAUAGGACGCAGGGUUUUAUCCCUAUUUUACAGGUGAAGAAGGUAAGUCCCACAGAAGGGACAUGACUUGUUGCAGUCACAUUAGUAAGUACCAGAGCAGGUGCUUGAACUCGGGCCUCAGGUCUCAUGGUCCAAGGCUCUGUCCAAGGCUCUGUCAGCGCUGCCUGUCUGACUGUAGUACACACAGAAGUGCCGGCAGUCAUGGUCAUCCCAAAAGGCACGGCUUAUAUUUUAGCGGUGUGCUUAACACACCUCUCUUAGCCUCCUUGGCCAAUCUGGAAUGAUUCCUUCCUAAACACAAGGCACACUGACCCACUGAGGGUUGCUCUAGGACUGACGCCCAAUGGCAGUGAUAGAACUUUUUUGUCUGGCUGUUCAUCACUUGUGAUUAAAAACCAGAGUUGCUACUGA